UUCUCCAUGACAUGAGGGGACUGAAAACCUUGAAAAUACACGAAGGAGCACUGCCUCUACUCGAACAUCUUGAAAUUGGGCCUAGCCCACAAAUUGGGGAGGUGCCAUCUGGCAUUCGCCUGCUCAAAAGCCUUACAAGUAUUCAUUUUUGGGGCAUGCCAAGAGAAUUCACGCGUAGUAUGUUACCAGAGGAUGGCCAAAAAUGUCACAUAGUUGAACAUGUCCCCAAUGUCUUUUUCCACUUUUUUCAUUCUGGAGGCUACAGCACCAAGGCACUAAGAUGACCACCAAAAAUGUCAUUCCAAAUCCCAGUGAUGAUUGUAGGUUGUAAUUGGUGAUCGACUGUUGGGCACUGAUCAAGUCUGAAGGUUUGCUUACUGAAAAUCAAGUUGUGUAAGGACAGUUCUUUGAGCAUCCCAUAUAAUGUCGAUAUGAUGCUUUUCUCCUUUUCCAUGGUUGUAUUAUUGUUACUUUCCCUUCAGGGAUAAAGGAAAUCCCAACUUCUAGAAUAUGCAGUACUGUUUAUGGUUCUAAUCAAUUAAUAGGAAUUCUUGGUGGAAGUGUUCGUUA